rnacentral:rRNA from 1 species
GAUGAACGCUGGCGGCGUGCUUAACACAUGCAAGUCGAACGGGAAACCUUUUAUUGAAGCUUCGGCAGAUUUAGCUGGUUUCUAGUGGCGGACGGGUGAGUAACGCGUGGGUAACCUGCCCUAUACAGGGGGAUAACAACCAGAAAUGGUUGCUAAUACCGCAUAAGCGCACAGGGCCGCAUGGUCCGGUGUGAAAAACUCCGGUGGUAUAGGAUGGACCCGAGUUGGAUUAGCCAGUUGGCAGGGUAACGGCCUACCAAAGCGACGAUCCAUAGCCGGCCUGAGAGGGUGAACGGCCACAUUGGGACUGAGACACGGCCCAGACUCCUACGGGAGGCAGCAGUGGGGAAUAUUGCACAAUGGGGGAAACCCUGAUGCAGCGACGCCGCGUGAAGGAAGAAGUAUCUCGGUAUGUAAACUUCUAUCAGCAGGGAAGAUAGUGACGGUACCUGACGAAGAAGCCCCGGCUAACUACGUG